rnacentral:other from 1 species
AUAUCCCUGCUGUGCGCGUUGGAAUACUUGAUAAUUAUUGAACCAACACUAAUAUCAAGGGGGCUCAAUACUUCGUUGGGGCUAAAGGCUCCAAAGAGAGGGCACCCACCUGAAACCAAACUGGUUCAGAUAUAUCGCUUCCAACGGCACAAUGCGGGGAUUUU